rnacentral:rRNA from 1 species
GGGCCCGCACAAGCGGUGGAGCAUGUGGUUUAAUUCGAUGCAACGCGAAGAACCUUACCUACUCUUGACAUCCAGAGAACUUUUCAGAGAUGAAUUGGUGCCUUCGGGAACUCUGAGACAGGUGCUGCAUGGCUGUCGUCAGCUCGUGUUGUGAAAUGUUGGGUUAAGUCCCGCAACGAGCGCAACCCUUAUCCUUGUUUGCCAGCGAGUAAUGUCGGGAACUCCAGGGAGACUGCCGGUGAUAAACCGGAGGAAGGUGGGGACGACGUCAAGUCAUCAUGGCCCUUACGAGUAGGGCUACACACGUGCUACAAUGGCGCAUACAGAGGGCGGCCAACUUGCGAGAGUGAG